UGGCUGGGUACUUCUAUUGAUCAUCUGUGAAGUGGUGAUCCUCAACCCUUUAUAAGGCCUUGUCAUUUAAUUAUUAUUUUUUAUUGUAUUAGUACUUUGGACUUCUUUUUUCAUAGUAGGUACAUGUCCCGACUUAGUUUUUCUGCUUCAAAUGUUUUUAUGGAUAAAAUUGGGAUGUCUUGGAUGUUAUGUUUAACUCUGAUCUUUC
rnacentral:lncRNA from 1 species